rnacentral:rRNA from 1 species
GACGAACGCUGGCGGCGUGCCUAAUACAUGCAAGUAGAACGCUGAAGAGAGGAGCUUGCUCUUCUUGGAUGAGUUGCGAACGGGUGAGUAACGCGUAGGUAACCUGCCUGGUAGCGGGGGAUAACUAUUGGAAACGAUAGCUAAUACCGCAUAAAAUUGAUUAUUGCAUGAUAAUUAAUUGAAAGAUGCAAUUGCAUCACUACCAGAUGGACCUGCGUUGUAUUAGCUAGUUGGUGAGGUAACGGCUCACCAAGGCGACGAUACAUAGCCGACCUGAGAGGGUGAUCGGCCACACUGGGACUGAGACACGGCCCAGACUCCUACGGGAGGCAGCAGUAGGGAAUCUUCGGCAAUGGGGGGAACCCUGACCGAGCAACGCCGCGUGAGUGAAGAAGGUUUUCGGAUCGUAAAGCUCUGUUGUAAGAGAAGAACGGGUGUGAGAGUGGAAAGUUCACACUGUGACGGUAUCUUACCAGAAAGGGACGGCUAACUACGUGCCAGCAGCCGCGGUAAUACGUAGGUCCCGAGCGUUGUCCGGAUUUAUUGGGCGUAAAGCGAGCGCAGGCGGUUAGAUAAGUCUGAAGUUAAAGGCUGUGGCUUAACCAUAGUAUGCUUUGGAAACUGUUUAACUUGAGUGCAGAAGAGGAGAGUGGAAUUCCAUGUGUAGCGGUGAAAUGCGUAGAUAUAUGGAGGAACACCGGUGGCGAAAGCGGCUCUCUGGUCUGUAACUGACGCUGAUGUGCGAAAGCGUGGGGAUCAAACAGGAUUAGAUACCCUGGUAGUCCACGCCGUAAACAAUGAGUGCUAAGUGUUAGGGGGCUUUCCACCCCUUAGUGCUGCAGCUAACGCAUUAAGCACUCCGCCUGGGGAGUACGACCGCAAGGUUGAAACUCAAAGGAAUUGACGGGGGCCCGCACAAGCGGUGGAGCAUGUGGUUUAAUUCGAAGCAACGCGCAAUAACCUUACCAGGUCUUGACAUCCCUCUGAUCGCUCUAGAGAUAGAGUUUUCCCCUUCGGGACAGAGGUGACAGGUGGUGCAUGGUUGUCGUCAGCUCGUGUCGUGAGAUGUUGGGUUAAGUCCCGCAACGAGCGCAACCCCUAUUGUUAGUUGCCAUCAUUCAGUUGGGCACUCUAGCGAGACUGCCGGUAAUAAACCGGAGGAAGGUGGGGAUGACGUCAAAUCAUCAUGCCCCUUAUGACCUGGGCUACACACGUGCUACAAUGGCUGGUACAACGAGUCGCAAGCCGGUGACGGCAAGCUAAUCUCUGAAAGCCAGUCUCAGUUCGGAUUGUAGGCUGCAACUCGCCUACAUGAAGUCGGAAUCGCUAGUAAUCGCGGAUUAGCACGCCGCGGUGAAUACGUUCCCGGGCCU